CGGGACGGGUGAGUAAUGUCGUGGGAAACUGCCUGAUGGAGGGGGAUAACUACUGGAAACGGUAGCUAACACCGCAUAACGUCGCAAGACCAAAGAGGGGGACCUUCGGGCCUCUUGCCAUCGGAUGUGCCCAGAUGGGAUUAGCUAGUAGGUGGGGUAACGGCUCACCUAGGCGACGAUCCCUAGCUGGUCUGAGAGGAUGCCAGCCACACUGGAACUGAGACACGGUCCAG
rnacentral:rRNA from 1 species